rnacentral:snoRNA from 1 species
AUGGUGCCGCUUUUUUUGUGCAAUGCCGACCCACGUGAGGGAGAAACGGCGUUUUGACUGCUGGC